rnacentral:tmRNA from 1 species
GGGGCUGACUUGGAUUUCGACAGAUUUCUUGUCGCACAGAUAGCAUGCCAAGUGCUGCUUGUAAAACAGCAACAAAAAUAACUGUAAACAACACAGAUUACGCUCCAGCUUACGCUAAAGCCGCGUGAGUUAAUCUCCUUUUGGAGCUGGACUGAUUAGAAUUUCUAGCGUUUUAAUCACUUCAUAACCUUAAGCUAGACGCUUUUAAAAGGUGGUUCGCCUUUUAAACUAAGAAACAAGAACUCUUGAAGCUACCUCAAGGUUUUAGAAAGUUGGACCAGAGCUAGUUUUAAGGCUAAAAACUAACCAAUUUUCUAAGCAUUGUAGAAGUUUGUGUUUAGGGCAAGAUUUUUGGACUGGGGUUCGAUUCCCCACAGCUCCACCA